UACAGAGGGUGCGAGCGUUAAUCGGAAUUACUGGGCGUAAAGCGUGCGUAGACGGUUAUUUAAGUCGGUUGUGAAAGCCCCGGGCUCAACCUGGGAAUUGCAUUCGAGACUGAAUAGCUAGGGUACGGUAGAGGGAAGUGGAAUUUCCGGUGUAGCGGUGAAAUGCGUAGAUAUCGGAAGGAACAUCAGUGGCGAAAGCGACUUCCUGGACCAGUACCGACGUUCAGGCACGAAAGCGUGGGGAGCAAACAGG
rnacentral:rRNA from 1 species